rnacentral:SRP_RNA from 1 species
GCCGGGUGUGGUGGCGGGCGCCUGUAGUCCCAGCUACUUGGGAGGCUGAGGCAGGAGAAUUGCUUGAACCUGGGAGGCAGAGGUUGCAGUGAGCCGAGAUCAUGCCACUGCACUCCAGCCUAGGUGACAGAGCGAGCCUCCGUCUCAA